rnacentral:rRNA from 1 species
AACGAACGCUGGCGGCAUGCCUAACACAUGCAAGUCGAACGAGACCUUCGGGUCUAGUGGCGCACGGGUGCGUAACGCGUGGGAACCUGCCCUUAGGUUCGGAAUAACUCCCCGAAAGGGGUGCUAAUACCGGAUAAUGUCUUCGGACCAAAGAUUUAUCGCCUUGGGAUGGGCCCGCGUUGGAUUAGCUAGUUGGUAGGGUAAAAGCCUACCAAGGCUACGAUCCAUAGCUGGUCUGAGAGGAUGAUCAGCCACACUGGGACUGAGACAAGGCCCAGACUCCUACGGAAGGGCGCAGUGGGGAAUAUUGGACAAUGGGCGAAAGCCUGAGCCCGCCAUGCCGCGUGAGUGAUGAAGGCCUUAGGGUUGUAAAGCUCUUUUACCCGGGAUGAUAAUGACAGUACCGGGAGAAUAAGCUCCGGCUAACUCCGU